CAGAAGUACCCUUUGGACGGUUGUUACUGCAGAUGGCUGACAUAGCCCGCUAGCAUCAACUCAAGUUUCUCUUUCUUUAUUUGAACGCUCCCAGUCACAUUGAAAGUGUCCAUCUCAAAGCUCCAAAAUGACACCAUCCGAGACUUCCCGCUGGAUAUCUCACCGACGAGGGAGGGCAGCAAUACCCUUGCAGCCAAAAGGACGCAGAGGAAUGCUUCUCCAGACCACACACACCUCUCCCCCCUCAACACACAGCACACUGCCUCUGUCUUCACACAGUCAUUACAAAAGACCAUCAACUAAAAGAUAACCUACACAUGAUAAACAGACCCCAUCCAAGCUGAAAUUGUAAUUUGCUGUCAACGUGAUUGGCUUGUUAAAAUUGAUGGCAAUGGCAUUAUUUUAUCCGUUAAUGGGAUUAUCAUGAAAAGACAGCCAGCUAGAGCAAGCAAUCGAAUAAAUGUCUCCUUCUGUCUGUGAAAAACAAAGACAGUUGAGGCUUUUAAAUCCCCCAAAAUUGAACUCUGGUGGUGCCCCUGGUUGCUUGUGGCAAUUCAAGCCUUUUUAGUGCUGAUAAAACAAGACACUUUCCCCAAUAGCCUAAAUCCUCCUUCAAAUCCUUCUCUUGUGUUACCUAAUUAUACUCUGUAAUAAUCAGUGGAGCUUCUGUGCAGAUCUGGAUAACCAUUCAGCCAAAUGCCACUUUGUAAAUAGAUAGUCUGAGGGAGGAUAAUAACUGCUGACAUUAUUACACAAGCAUGAAACCUUCUUUUAUCUUAAGCUAUUUUUUUAUCCUCGGGGAUUGACAUUCGAUGCCACAAAUACAACAGGCACUAACGCUGCAAGUAAGCAAUGUGACAAGGUGAAAUCGGAUAAUGUAAUCAGCGGGUUUUUUUUUUUUUUAUUACGUAAAGGAAUAUUAAAUAACCAGCAGUACAAAGGGAAAGUGCAGCCUCUCUACCUGUAACCUGUUUAGUGAGUAACAGAAGACGACACCUACCCGAUGGAUUAAUGUCGAGUCCGUCCGUACGGAGAAGUUGGAUCAAUGCUGGGGUUGUUUCUCCAGCUGAUGCUCCGGCUACAUGCAGCCCUGCGGCGGAUACAAACUCUGCGGCGUCUCGGCAGUCGGAGGAGUUUGUUUUCUGGGUCAAUUCAGGGAUUAUAUGCAUCUAUAAAGCACAGGGAGAGAGGGAGGGAGGGAGGGAGGGAGAGAGAGAGA